UUCUGCUUGUUUGUCUGCGCGUCAGAGAGUGUGAGUGAGUGAGCAUUACAGUGCAGUAAGUGUGCCCGUGGCUACCUGUGGCUGCUGCACAGAGUUAACCCACCAGAUGCCACUGUCGGCCUGAAUGCAGUGUAAUGUCCUUUAUUCUGAUUUCCCAGUGCCUCUCACCUCUCUCAUUCUGCACAGGGCCACCAGCAUGUGGGCACAGUUCCUGCUGCUGUCGCUGACUCUGCUGUCGCUGGAGAAGGAUGAAGGAUCCACCGGAUAAGAAGCCACCAAAGGGGGUGAAGAAGUAUCUGCUGCUGAAUUUUAGAGCUUUGUUAUGUCUGUAUAUGCCAGUGGGAACAUGAGUAUACAGACUACAUUCAAUGAUGGGGAAUGGAGGGAGAUUCCCAGGAAUGACCAUUAGAAACAGAAUCUCCAACCAGUUAAUCCAGCUGUACCCACAGGAGGACUGGCACGUGUCACUCACAGAUGAAGGAGUAUCACAGAAGGCGACCACUCCAGCACCAACGGGAGGAAAGAAAAAAGAAUGAGAUCCUGAUAACCCGGCACAGCUCUCUCCAGAGCCAACUGAGAAUCACUGCAGACAGAUUUCCAGCAUGAGAUGCUCCAGCUACUGUUGAACUACAAAUCCCACAAUCCCUGGAUGUUGUUGGCAGAUAAGAAUCCCAGGCAGCAUAAAAGAAGAAGAUGAUUGGUUGAAGAAUGGGAUGGUAUAUUCCUCAGUGGAAGAAUAUCUGCAGAGAAGUCGGAGGAAGCAAAAGAAAUGGGGGGACUGAGAGGUUUCGGGUGUUUAAUAAAAAGUACAAGUAAAAUGUGUUGCUAAUAUGGCGCUGCUUCAAUUCUAUGUGAAGAAUGAAUAGAAUAAAGGAAUGUUUCUCCUGUG